GUUUUACUGGUUCUGGUCAUGCCCUCUACUUUAUGAAUAAACCCUGCCCUUUUCUUGGACUACAAGUCAUGAUGGGAUAGACUCUAUCUCAAUCAAACCCCAUCAAUCCCUGUGGUAUACAAUGGAAACAGCACAUGUCAGCUGUGUAUAUUAAGGGCAGCUUGUGAUGUAUGGGGAUGUUGGAUAGAAAUAGUUUUACUCACAAUAGGAUAGUGCCACCCAUUGGAUUGACAGUAUACUGCAGUCUAAUUCUCAGUCCAAAAUCUUCUGUUCGCUCUCACACGACUGAAAGAAUACUACAGUCGAUAGUACAAUAUUAACCAAAGGACAAAAAAACAUGAGUUAUGUAAUCAACACGAUACCACAUAUACGUCCAGUACAGUAUAUAAGUGAUGAUAGAAGUAAAUAUCAGGUGUAAACAGUACUUGAUAAUGGCAGGAACUCACUGGAACUAAGUACAGGCACCUCUAAUGUUAUUCUGCUUGUGUUCCUCUUCCUCCUGUUGAAUAUAACCUCAGAAGUAUUGCACCUACAUAUAAACGCUACCAGCACCCAAAAUGAGUAGCGGCCCGUAUUUCAGUCCAAGUCAAGCACGGAGUGUAAAAUGAGACCUGUAUGAUCACAGAACACUUGUGGCUGAACCUGUGGGAUGUCUGUUGUUCACCUAAAAAAAAUCUACAUUGACAUUCAGUGCAGAAAGAACAACACUCACACAAACACACUCAGGAUGCAUCCCAAAUGACACCCUAUUCGCUUUUUAGUGCACUACUUUUGACCAGGGCCAAUUGGGCACCAUGCACUAUGUAGGGAAUAGGGUGCCAUUUGGGACUCUUGCUCAGUCUGCUCAGUGUAUAAAUCACCUCCCAAAUAUUGUGGGGGCUGGCUCUUUCUGUGGCUCCACGAUUAACCUUCAGUCAUAUAUCAUCAGACACUCCCUUCUGAGACAGGCAGGCAGGCAGGCAGCCAGACAGAUAGUCAGACAGACAGAAACAUAGUCAGACAGACAGAUAGACAGAGUCAGACAGACACAGGCAGACAAACAGAAACAGGCAGACAGACAGACACACAGGCAGAAAGACAGAUAGACAGAGUCAGACAGACACAGGCAGACAGCCAGACACAGAGGCAGACAAACAGAAACAGGCAGACAGACAGACACAUACAGACAGACACAGUGGCAGACAGACAGAUAAACACAUAGGCAGACAGACAGUCAUACAGUACAGUAUGGACCUCACCACCGGGGGAACAUUGUGUAGAUCUCAAAUGGCUCCCUACAUAUGCCCUAUGGGUCCUAUG
ensembl:lncRNA